AGCAGUCGCCGCGGUAAUACGUAGGUGGCAAGCGUUGUCCGGAAUUAUUGGGCGUAAAGGGCUCGCAGGCGGUUUCUUAAGUCUGAUGUGAAAGCCCCCGGCUCAACCGGGGAGGGUCAUUGGAAACUGGGAAACUUGAGUGCAGAAGAGGAGAGUGGAAUUCCACGUGUAGCGGUGAAAUGCGUAGAUAUAUGGAGGAACACCGGUGGCGAAGGCGGCUCUCUGGUCUGUCGCUGACGCUGAGGCUCGAAAGCGUGGGUAGCGAACAGGAUUAGAUACCCCCGAGUCCCUGUCUCUUAUACA
rnacentral:rRNA from 1 species